GGAUGUAAUCGCCUAAUCAUCAACUCUGACAACCUGGAGGUGAUUGAGACCAUGCAGGACGGAGGACAGUCAGCGGGAGCGGCGGUGGCAAUCUUCGAUGACUGCUAUCACUAUGCUUGUGAUUUUAUCAUGACUAAAUUUGAACAUUGUAAUAGAGAGGCUAAUAAAGUAGCACAUGAACUUGCUAGAUUAGCUAGAGUUUUUUCGACUUCGGAUUGGUUUGAGGAGCCUAUUAGUGAAAUUGUAACGCUUAUCACAAACGAUGUAUUGGUCAUUGCUAAUGAAUAA
rnacentral:rRNA from 1 species